rnacentral:rRNA from 1 species
GUGGGGAAUAUUGGACAAUGGGCGAAAGCCUGAUCCAGCCAUGCCGCGUGUGUGAAGAAGGUCUUCGGAUUGUAAAGCACUUUAAGUUGGGAGGAAGGGUAGUAACCUAAUACGUUGCUACUUUGACGUUACCGACAGAAUAAGCACCGGCUAACUUCGUGCCAGCAGCCGCGGUAAUACGAAGGGUGCAAGCGUUAAUCGGAAUUACUGGGCGUAAAGCGCGCGUAGGUGGUUUUGUAAGUUGGAGGUGAAAUCCCCGGGCUCAACCUGGGAACUGCCUACAAAACUGGCGAGCUAGAGUACGGUAGAGGGUGGUGGAAUUUCCUGUGUAGCGGUGAAAUGCGUAGAUAUAGGAAGGAACACCAGUGGCGAAGGCGACCACCUGGACUGAUACUGACACUGAGGUGCGAAAGCGUGGGGAGCAAACAGGAUUAGAAACCCCGGUAGUCC